rnacentral:rRNA from 1 species
UUAACUGAAAGGGGGGCGUUUACCACGGUAUGAUUCAUGACUGGGGUGAAGUCGUAACAAGGUAACCGUAGGGGAACCUGCGGUUGGAUCACCUCCUUACCUGAAUGAAG